rnacentral:rRNA from 1 species
UGCAAGUCGUAGCGAAUGGAUUAAGAGCUUGCUCUUAUGAAGUUAGCGGCGGACGGCCUGAGUAACACGUGGGUAACCUGCCCAUAAGACUGGGAUAACUCCGGGAAACCGGGGCUAAUACCGGAUAACAUUUUGAACCGCAUGGUUCGAAAUUGAAAGGCGGCUUCGGCUGUCACUUAUGGAUGGACCCGCGUCGCAUUAGCUAGUUGGUGAGGUAACGGCUCACCAAGGCAACGAUGCGUAGCCGACCUGAGAGGGUGAUCGGCCACACUGGGACUGAGACACGGCCCAGACUCCUACGGGAGGCAGCAGUAGGGAAUCUUCCGCAAUGGACGAAAGUCUGACGGAGCAACGCCGCGUGAGUGAUGAAGGCUUUCGGGUCGUAAAACUCUGUUGUUAGGGAAGAACAAGUGCUAGUUGAAUAAGCUGGCACCUUGACGGUACCUAACCAGAAAGCCACGGCUAACUACGUGCCAGCAGCCGCGGUAAUACGUAGGUGGCAAGCGUUAUCCGGAAUUAUUGGGCGUAAAGCGCGCGCAGGUGGUUUCUUAAGUCUGAUGUGAAAGCCCACGGCUCAACCGUGGAGGGUCAUUGGAAACUGGGAGACUUGAGUGCAGAAGAGGAAAGUGGAAUUCCAUGUGUAGCGGUGAAAUGCGUAGAGAUAUGGAGGGAACACCCCGUGGCGAAGGCGACUUUCUUGGUCUUGUAACCUGACACCUGACGCGCG